GAUCGAAUGGGGAGAUUCAUCGUCAGCGAUUCCGGCGGGUGUGCGGCUCGCGAUGCCUGAGACUUCGGUCUCGUGGCACACGUUCGCAUGUUUUUAUUUGUGUCGGAAUCGUCGGCGUGCACUUCUCCCCUAGUAGGACGUCGCGACCCGUUGGGUGUCGGUCUACGGCACGGUAGGGUAGACUGUCACGUUUCGCGCUUCACGGCGUUACGCGUGGCAGACCUCCGUUCGCCCGACCGGCUGCUCGGCGGUAUUCGCACGGUAUCUGGCCGCAGACAUUACGAACUGCGUCCGGCCCGUCGCAAGCGCGGCAAGUGUUUUACCCGGCUGUACGGAUCUAACGCCGUCACCGGGCCUUGCCCGCUGUUGGUCGACGGUGUCCUAGGACUGGCUGACAUUAUGAUACCGGUCGGCGACGCUACUGCUUUGGGUACUUCCAGGACCCGUCUUGAAACACGGA
rnacentral:rRNA from 1 species